CGGUGGAUACGUUCCCGGACCUUGCACACACCGCCCGUCAAGCCAUGGAAGCUGGGUGUACCUAAAGUCGGUAACCGCAAGGAGCCGCCUAGGGUAAAACUAGUAACUGGGGCU
rnacentral:rRNA from 1 species